rnacentral:lncRNA from 1 species
UAGGAACAUAUGGCAUAUGGUUAAUUAUGUAAACCUUAUGAAUUUGAACAUAGUUUGCUAUAGACAUUUUGAAAAAUACUUACUUUUCAGGAAGUAUUUGAAGAAUUCAAUUUACUAGAAAUUCGAAACGUGGAAAUCAGACAUAUUUUUUAAUACCCUUCUGUAAUGAAUUUAGCAAGUAUUUGUACCUUCAGAAAAAUUCUUGAGUGUCAAAAAUGUGUUCAUGUGUCACUCCUGAUUAAGUUUUCAACAAUAUCUAUCUGGUCUUGAUAGGUUUAAAGAACUUAGUAGAUAUACAUUUAUCAUCUUGGAACAUAUUUCUCUUGCUGAUGUUCUAAAAUGGUUUAGACGUAUCACACACACACACACACACACACACACACACACACACACACACACCAGUUUAAAAGAAUACUUAGAUAUGUCAGUCAGCACACACUUCAAGUCGUCAUCUUACUGAUGUAUAUUUUAACUCUAUGCAAGUGCACCCCUUCUCGCCGACAUUCAGAUCUGUGAUACAGCACACACUAAAUAGCUUCCUCUUCCUUCCCUCUUUCAAUGCUUCUUACACUCUGUUGAGAGCGUGCAUUAUAAUCUACUACUUAAAGAAAUUCUAAUUCUUGUUAUUAAUGCCUCACACCUAUUUGUUCCAAGCCCCUUUCUUCCAUGUUCUAAUCUUCUUCAUUACUUUGUAAGAAAGGAAUUGCCACACUCUGAUUUGCAGAUGAGGAGAAGGAGGUUUUGAGAAGUUUAGUAGCCUCCCCCAAGGUCACAAAGCUAAUAAUCAGCUGUGAGAACUUAAAGCUCAAGUUCUUCAGGUUCUAUUAAUUUUUCUAGUCAUUCAACAAAUAUCACCGAGCCCUUGUGAUAUCUUAGACUUGUUCAAGACACUCAAAAUAAAGGCAUAGAUACAGCAGGCAUUAAACCCCUUGGAGUCCAUUGCCUCAGUGUCUGCCUAUGGAGUGAUUCAUCUCAUAGUCACCUUAACACUAUGCUGAUAUUUCCUCAACAUCCCUUGAGCCAAAAGAACACAAUUAUAAAGUUUCAACCCUUUUUAGAUCUCUUCCUCUGUACCUUCAGUCCUUUCCAACUGCAUAAUUGCCUGUUUCUAAGCAGGAAUUCUACACUGGAAAAACCCAUCUUCUUGUGGCCCCAGCAAAGCUUGUCUUGCAUUUGCUCUGAUUAUCCCUGUACCCAAAACAAUUUUCCUGUGUCCUUUCAAAGAGUUCUUCCUGUUCUCUAGUACUUGGGUGGGGGUGGGGGCUCACAAAAACCAAAACCAAAACCAAAAAACCAAAAUAACCCUGGAUCCCAACAAGCACAUCCUAGAAAUGAAACCUUCAAAUUCGCUUAUCUGCAGCAAUCCUUUGACCCAUGACAUUUCCAUUUCACUUCUGAAACUGGAAAGGGCUCCUCUCAUCUCUUGUGUUGGGGUUUGUGGAUGUGCCCAGCUGACAGGCUGGCAAAAAGUUCAAGAAAACAGCAGUAAAAUGAAGGAAGAAAGGAAAAAGUGUAGGUGUGGAGACCUCGGGGCUACAUGCCCUGUUGCCUAGCACAGUGGAUGAACAGUUAGCACGUACUCUGCCCAAGCUGCGAGGGUGAAAGAGAGGGAGGAGAUGCUGACCACUGUUGGGAGAUUUAGCAAGAAGAAGGAAUCUUAAAUUCAUAACUCAACGUGUUUAAAGGCAUUCAAGUGUUUAUAUUGUGGUUAGUGAUGGCAUUAAGGAAUGUACAGGUACGUACAAUACCAAAGUUUUUAACUGUGUUUGCUCCUUCUUGGGAUAAGCUACCAUUUUAAAGCAACAUUUACAUGUUUGGUAUGGAAUGGCAUCUAUUGUUUCUAAGAGAAAAUGCCAGGGUGACCAGCUAAUACACUCAUCAUUGGCACCGUGGUGCCAAUGACACAAAACCCAUGUUGCUGGUUUCAUGAUUUAACUCUGUAUAUGAUUAUUCCUCUAUUAUCUGCAGCAUAGUUCAUUAUUAUAAAAGCUACUCCUCACUGCCCCCCAACCCUCAACCAAGAGCCACCCCUUUAGUCAAUAUAAAAUUUUGCUAGUUAACUUUUCUUGGUAGAUUUUUACCUUUAACAAAAGUCAAAUUUAAUCUUCAAGGGCAUGUUGCAAAUCUCUAUUAACACCCAGUUCUUGAGGUUAUUUUUAUUUAUAGUUUUGUUCUACUAUAUUUUAAAAAAUAUGUAGCCUUGGUGCUUGAAGAGAAGUUCCUACAGCUAUAUUUUUGUGCUGACUCAUUCCAAGUUAUGAAGGGACAAAUUGGGUGGGCAUUUUGAAAAGCAGAUACUGUAUCUGUACAGAUACAGUAUCUUUCAGGUACAGAUACCUUUCUGACUGUUCUACUGCCUGUUAUAGCCAGGCUUAUAUAUGUUGAUAUGAAUAUAGGAUUUAUUCCAGCAAAGUUUAUAUAUAUGCAUAUAUAAAAUUAGCAUAUUAUAUAGAUAUGCAUAUGUAUAUCACCUGGUACAAAUAUAUAUUUACCAUGUGUUAUAUACAUAAUUAUAAAAUAUCAAACAUUACAUAGAUGUUUAAUUUGAGCAUAAUAUAUGCUGUGAUGUGCCCUUUUUGACUUUUGGGGAAGCAUGCCUUUGGAACUGCUCUAUGCUUUGAGGAUUCCUUGUUCUUUGAAAUAGGGGAUGGUUAAACUUUGGUCAUAAGGCUCUGAGCUGGCCUCACUUUAAAAAAAUGAGAGCUUUCUGCAGUUGUAACAGAAGCAGCUGAACAGACCAGUGGUGUUCCAAAACCAAACUAGACUCCAUAUGCUUAGCAUACACUGCAUUGAUGUUGAUAAAGGGCAAAUGAUGAAUCUGGAGUUCCUUUAACGUCAGUGUAGACAGUUCUUUAGUUUUGACAUUACUUUUAGGAAUGAACCCUGCCUGGCACUUCCAGAGUAUAAUUGUGGGUAUCUGGCUGCCACCUUGGUGUACGAUGGAGAGCAGCGGAUGUCAGACAGUAUUUAGCUCCUGAGAUUCUGUCAUAAGGGUAGGCCACAUGCAGUUGAUAAUAAAUAUUCAAUUAGUCAGUUUUCCCAGUCCACUCCCAAUGAGUUAAGUUUGGUAGAGGUCCCUGACUCACUCUGAAUUUUUGACCAUCUCUGUCUUGAAUUCAAAAUACACAAAUUUGGUGACACUGUAUAUUAAUUGGUAUCUACAAGUACAGGGAAGAUACUUUAGAACCAGGCUAUUUAUAGCUAACUUUUAUCAAAAGAUUACAACGAAAACCUCCUUACAGCCUCCACUUUGUUAGCUGAUGAUGAGAAAUUAAGAUG